ACCUACAGAUUCAAUGCAAUCUCUCAAAAUUCCAAUGGCAUUUUUAAAAAACAACCCUAAAAUUUGUAUGGGACCCCGAAAGGCUCCAAACAGCCAACACAAUCUUGAGAAAGAACAAAGCUGGAGGCCUCAUGCUCCUUAAUUUCAAACUAUAUUAUUACAAAGCUAUAGUAAUCGAGUAUUGGCAUAAAUACAGACCUAGAUUAAUGGCACAGAAUAGCCUAGAAAUAAACCAAUGAAUGUAUGGUCAGUUAAUUUACGACAAAGGAGACAAGAAUAUAUAAUCAAGAAAAGACAGUGUAUUCAAUAAUUGCUGUUGGGAAAAUUAGACAGCUCCAUGCUA